AGCGAACGCUGGCGGCAGGCUUAACACAUGCAAGUCGAGCGGGCAUCCUUGUGGUGUCCGCGGCAGACGGGUGAGUAACGCGUGGGAACGUGCCCUUCGGUUCGGAAUAACUCAGGGAAACUUGAGCUAAUACCGGAUACGCCCUUUUGGGGAAAGGUUUACUGCCGAAGGAUCGGCCCGCGUCUGAUUAGCUAGUUGGUGAGGUUAUGGCUCACCAAGGCGACGAUCAGUAGCUGGUCUGAGAGGAUGAUCAGCCACACUGGGACUGAGACACGGCCAGACUCCUACGGGAGGCAGCAGUGGGGAAUAUUGGACAAUGGGGGCAACCCUGAUCCAGCCAUGCCGCGUGAGUGAUGACGGCCUUAGGGUUGUAAAGCUCUUUUCUCCGGGACGAUAAUGACGGUACCGGAGGAAUAAGCCCCGGCUAACUUCGUG
rnacentral:rRNA from 1 species